CGGGGCGGCAGGAGGCCCGAAGCAAGAUGGCGGUGAAUCAGAGCCACACCGAGAACCGCCGCGGAGCCCUCAUCCCUAACGGUGAAAGACAAGCACAAAAGUACCACCCAUGCCUCUGAGAACACUGGACCAUGCACCCUUGAAAACAGCUUUGCUUCCUUCAUCAUGAGUAAUCUUCCUCCAGCAGUCAAAUGUGCCUGUGUACAUGAUGUCAGUUCCUUUGCAUCCUGACUGCAUCAUCAUGUAGCAGCAAAUGGUGUCAAAUGGAUAGGAAGUCAACCCAGCAACGGCAGUGACAGUCUGUGCAUCAUCCAACUGAUGACAAUCUCCAGCUUUGCCCACAUCAGCUGCUACACGAGUAUGGGCAAAAUCAAGAGGAUACACAAAACACAAGGAUGUGGCCCCAGUGGCACCGCCUGAUGCCAGAUUCCCUGCAAAGUAGCACCAAAACUGGGACCUCUUGUCCACACCACCCAGGAAGAUCUGCUUGUAUUUAUCUUUGAAGGUGGGAAAACAAAAAGAAGUCAUUUGCUUAAAGCGCAUGUGGGAGAGCUUGGAUUUGGAUUUGAACUUAGGUACUGUGCAUAAACUCCUGUACUCCAGCUGUCCCUCUAGAAAGAAAAGGACUCUUUCUCUGUUUUCUUCUCACCAAAGAAGGCCCUAUUAGUACCCUAGCUUCCUGGAUAGAAACUACUUUAAAGAACCAGAGAUAGUGGUGCACAUCUGUAGUCCCACCUAUUCGAGAGGCUAAGGUGGGAGGAUCACUUGAGGCCAGGAGUUCAAGACCACACUGAGCAAAAUAGUGGGACCUCAUCUCACAGAAUAAAAUUUAAGAAAAGAAAAAAAAGAAACUAUAGCCAGGCAUGGUGGCACAUGCUUGUAAUCCCAGCUGCUUGGGAGACUGAGGCAGGAGAAUCGCUUUAACCCAAGGAGGCAGAGGUUACAGUGAACAGAGAUCACGCCAUUGCACUCCAGCCUGGGCAACAAGAGUGAAACUCCAUCUCAAAAAAAAAAAAAAAAAAGUGCCAGCUUAUGAGGUAAUUACAUUGGUUCUCUCCAGAGGUAACCUGCCAAGAAGAGAUGCUAUAGAUGUUACUCUUACACUGUAAAACAUUGUGAAAUCAGAUUGCUUUAAAAUGAUGUAUUACAAAGUUAUGGAAAAAAGCAGUUGUGACUAUGGAAGCCCAAGGCUUAUAUCCUAGCUCUGUCUUACACUAAAUGUGGGUACAGUGUUUCCACUUUUUGUUAAAUGGGAGCUAAUAUCCUCCAACCUGUGUGCCUGACAUGGUGAUUAAAAGGAUUAAUCGAAA
rnacentral:sRNA from 1 species